ACAUCGAAAAAGAAUGAUCAUGAUGAUGUGAACUUUGAUUUGAUCGUGUUAAUCUUUUCCUCAGUCUCUCUACAGGAAAUGGACUAUUGAAAUUUGAAGCCUAGUCUUUUGUACUGAAAGGGUGGUGAAUUUGUACCAUAAUCAACAGGAUUCAGCAGGCCCUGUGCCACAGAACUGGCAAAGCCCACGCUGGAAAAUAGUUUCCAUAAGAUGGCUCCCAUGGGUUUAUAAAUAAAAGAACAUACUGACUUUUGUAAAUCGAGAGUUAUUUUUGGUCAGAGCCAUAGUGAUGAAGGACAUAUGGACAGCUGCACUGAAGAACGAUUCUGCUGAUGGUUUUCCUAGAUGUUAUGGUUUGG